rnacentral:tRNA from 1 species
GCCCUCUUAGCUCAGUGGUAGAGCGUCAGACUUUUAAUCUGAUGGUCAGGGGUUCGAUCCCCCUAGGGGGCU